rnacentral:rRNA from 1 species
UCAGGAUGAACGCUAGCGACAGGCUAACACAUGCAAGUCGAGGGGCAGCAUAAAAGUAGCAAUACUUCGGUGGCGACCGGCGCACGGGUGAGUAACGCGUAUGCAACCUACCUAUCAGAGGGGAAUAACCCGGCGAAAGUCGGACUAAUACCGCAUAAAACAGGGGCACCGCAUGGUGAUAUUUGUUAAAGAAAUUCGCUGAUAGAUGGGCAUGCGUUCCAUUAGGUAGUUGGUGAGGUAACGGCUCACCAAGCCGACGAUGGAUAGGGGAACUGAGAGGUUGGUCCCCCACACUGGUACUGAGACACGGACCAGACUCCUACGGGAGGCAGCAGUGAGGAAUAUUGGUCAAUGGGCGGGAGCCUGAACCAGCCAAGUCGCGGUGAAAAGGAAGAAGGAUCUAUGGUUCGUAAACUUCUUUUGCAGGGGAAUAAAGUGCAGGACGUGUCCUGUUUUGUAUGUACCCUGAGAAUAAGGAUCGGCUAACUCCGUGCCAGCAGCCGC